ACUCUCAUAGCUCAGUUGGUUAGAGCAUCCACUUAUUUAGCGGAGGUCUUGAGUUCAAAUCUCGGUAAGAGCA
rnacentral:tRNA from 1 species